CCGUGCUAGAUGGGGAGCUAGCGGCACCCUGUAACUUGCAAUCCGCUAUAGCAAGGUUGAAUUCCCGGCCCAGCCUCUUUAUUUGGUGGCCUGCCCCGGAAAAGUGGCGUUGACGAUUGGGUCCUACGCAACAAAUGCUCAUGAACCGUGUCAGGUCUUGACGGAAGCAGCACUAAGUGAGAUGUUUUGUGUGCCGUAUGGAGUGCCUGGUCUGAGUUAACUCUCCGGGUACCGCAUGGAAUAAAGUUUGCAAAGCCGGGUGCAUGG
rnacentral:SRP_RNA from 1 species